UAUUGAUUUUUUCAAAGGGUUACUAAUGACACAUCAUUUGGAUAUUUUCAUGUCUCGGAAAAAUAUGGGAUUAAACGGGUUAAAAUGUGUGUUAAACAAAGUU